GAGGAGCUGGUACCAGUGGUUUUGUGUGCCGUUCUGCUAUUGCUGCUGCAAGGAGCUUGGAUGAGCUGGGAAACCACAACAUGCUCCUCGCUCAGACAUGGUGAAAGUAUAUCAGUAAUGUGGGUGUUGCCGUUACAAAUGGAGGUCCUACUGAGAUUCUACCAAGACACUACCAAGAGCCAAGAAAGAAGGAAUGAGCUGACGGACACUCUUAGAAGGCUGGCCAGCAUUUUAAAGCAAAAAGAAAAGGCAUUUCUCUUGUAAGGUGAUAUUCCACUCAAACGGUACAGAAAUGACAGAGAUGACCCUCCUAUCAAGUUUUCUUCAAAAUGACUUAGUGGUUACAUUAUAAUGUACACAUGUAUGGGAUGUUUUAGAAUGCAGUGACCUAUGAUGAUGUGCAUGUUGACUUCGCUUGGGAAGAGUGGACUUUGCUGGAUCCUUCCCAGAAGAAUCUCUACAAAGAUGUGAUGUUGGAGACUUACAGGAACCUCACUACUAUAGGAUACAGUUUGGAAGACUAUAAUAUCAAAGAACAUCAUCACAGUUCUAGGAGAUAUGAAAGAUCAAAACUUCCUCAUGGAGUGGAGCAGAGAAGCAAUGGGCACCUCUGAUGAGAAACUACCUUUUGGGAGCAGUGCAGAAGUAACAACUUUUUGCAUGGAACUGGAAUAGACUGCUACAUUUCUACAGUGGUUUCCCUCUCAGUUGAGUGAAGCAGAGAAGUAACAAUUUGGGAUGGAUCUGAGAAGAAAUAGACAUCUGUGCUGGGAAACUCCAUAGUACAGCAGAGCAGAGCAGAAAAACAAUGAACACCUCUGCUGGGAAACUCCCAUAGGGGAGUGGAGCAGAGCCCGGCUGUAAUGGCUUUCUCUCAAAGAGGAGCAAGAUUCCUUCAUCCUGCUGUGAGAUCAUCCUCAGCUGGAACACAACUUCGGGUAUAGCCUGACUUCCUGACAGUUGUGAUUCCUUUCUCCUCACUGCUGUAAGUAUUCAGGGUACCUUCCCUUCACAACUGUAGCUAUAGUCUGAAUUCUGACAGUCAGGGUACCUUUCUCUCCUGAGCUAUAGGUAUCUACAGAGCUGUAGAUAGUUCAGGGACAGGGUAACUCAAGGUCAGGGUCAUGGUUAGAGGGUCAGGGUUAGGGUCUGGGUGUAGGCUUAGGUCAGCAUUAGAGUCAAGGGUUAGGGGGUUAGAGGGUG